rnacentral:misc_RNA from 1 species
AAAUCCCCGGAAGUACAUGUGUAUUUUGACACAUACCUCUCGAGAAAUUAUGCCGGAAACAAGACAAAGAAAGAUAAAAGAGAAAAAGGCUCAGGCUGAAGAAAUUAGGAGUAAUGGAACUGAUGGUGAUAAAGAAACGUCCAAGAAAAUUCAUAAGUCUCGUAUUACCAGACUAAAGGAUCAUCAGUCAAAGGCCGGAACUCGAUACAUCUUGACUGCAUGUAAAUUUCUUGUUGCUGUCAUGGUUAUCCCCCCUUUUCUCAACUAUGCUGCUCUUCAGAGGGAGGCCAGUCUUCUCCAGCCAGAAGGUGAAAUGUAUGAUAUUGGUUGGGGUCAGAGGUUAUUCCUAUCUUGUAAAGGAAAGGGAGCUCCUACAGUCGUUCUUGAUGCACCAACAGGGAUGAACUCUGAUGUUUGGUCACUUGUUGUGGACAAAGUAGCUAAAUAUACCAGAGUAUGUACUUAUGACAGAGCUGGUCUAGGAUUCAGUGACAGGCCUUACCAGAACACAACAGAGGUUGAUGGCACUGACAGUAACAUGAACUACAGAAACAAAUGGUUUCCAUUUACCGCAGAAAGGAUGGUUGAAGAUUUACAUCAGUUGAUUUCUAGAAGCAGUGACCAGCCGAAACCUUUCUUGUUGGUUGGAGCAGAACUUGGUGCUCUUGUUGCGCAGUUUUAUGCUCACAUGUUCGAAAGUGAAGUAAUGGGACUGAUUUUGAUCAACCCGCUCUCUGAGGAUCUGUUCCAACAAGAUAAAGGAAUUUGGCUACACAACUGGUUUGGUCACAUGGUACCAUCAUUUCAAACAAUACAGUUAGGAGCAGCCCUGGGAAUAACUAGACUGUCUAUCAUGUUAGGAUACCUUCAACAUCCGAUGUACAUGGCAGCUGAAAUAUCAGAACAAACUGUUCAAAGACAGAAAUAUUUGAUGUGUUAUCCUAGACAUUUGAGUUCUGUUGUUGAUGAACACUAUUUUGUGAACGAGACAUUUUCACAAUUUAGAACAGCAAAGAUGAUAAGAAAGAUAGCAGAAAAUAUAACAGUGACUGUUAUAACAGGAAAUUAUUAUGAUGAACAGAUGCCAGGACCUUUAAAUAAGGCAUGGGCUAAAUCAGAACAGAAUUUAAUUUCGAAAACAUAUCCUCAUAGUCAGCAUCUAGUUGUGAAUGGUGGGGAUAGACAUUUAUUGUACCAGAAACCAGACGCUAUUGUAGAACCCAUCAGAAAGGCAGUUAAAUUAUGGAGAUCUAAAAAUAGUAACGAAAAAAUGAAUGUUAAAGCUAGCUGAGACUGUGAUAAAAGCUUAAGAUUUUUACGGUGAUGGAAUACGUAAUUAUAAUGAAAAUAAAAAAGAUACAUGUUGUGUGCAGACCAGGCCUAUCCAUGGCGAAGUUACCUUGAAAUUAACUGGAAUUGGACGAAAUUGUACAUAUGUGUCCACAGAAUUAGCCAUAUUUGAAGUGCAGUACCAAUCAGACAAUGUGUGUGACGGCAGAAUAUGCUUGUGGUGAAGUGCAAUACUGUACUACAGUACCUUUCUCAUCCCGUGGACUGCCAGGAAAUCUUUGUCUGGAUAACUCAAGUAGUUUUCAUUGAAACUGGCUUGAACUUUGAGAAAUUUAUCAGUUUGAAGUGAACUACAUACAUUUGCCACACCCAGUUUAGGAAAGUUGACGCUUUAUAAUUUUAGAAAAUGCUGUGUUAUGUGCAAUAUGAAUGGUCUAUCCAGAUAACUUCAUUUUAAUACAAUUUACAGGGGACUUGGCACAAACUUGCAGACAGGUAUAAAUAAUGAAGUGAACUUUGGUCAUGCAAGUAUACAUAGUUUAGGAGUUAUGGUCCUUUGAAAUUUUACAAAAUGCUGCAUAUUAUACAUUAAGAAGAAAAGUUUUGCCUAGAAAUUUGUCCAAUAGACAAAAGGAUGCUACAUAAAUCGUUCUGAUGAUAAGAUUGUAUUUUCAAACUGACUGUGUUCAAGUAACUAUUAUUAUUGCUCAUUACCUGGUUGGAGGUUAAUGAAAGUCUUAGAGUUGCAAAAAGUUGGGCAUUAUUGCUCAUUACUGAGUUGAAGGUUAAUGAAAGAGUUGCAAAAAGUUGGGCAUUAUUGCUCAUUACUGAGUUGAAGGUUAAUGAAAGAGUUGCAAAAAGUUGGGCAUUAUUGUUCAUUACUGAGUUGAAGGUUAAUAGAAGACUUGAGUUGCAAGUUGGGCAUUAUUGCUCAUUACCGAGUUGAAGGUUAAUGAAAGAGUUGCAAAAAGUCAUGCAUUAUCCAUUUAAAUGUUAUUAUCAAUUAUCUAUGUACACUUGUUAAUUUUUACCUACCAUUAUGCUUUUUAAAAAUGCUUACAGAGGUCAUGUAAAUUUUAGCUUUAUCUUUAAGGUUUUAUUUUAAAUUUAUGUAGCUUUGUUUGAGGCUGCCACGUUAUAAACAAUCCAGUCUAAUGAUGCAAUAUUGUCAUUGGUUGGUUUAGAAUUGUUCAAAGAAACCAGUAAUUCUUUAGGUUUGCUAACUGGUGUCAAACUCUGUUUUUAAUGCAUUUCUGUAACUACAAUGGCAGCUGUUUUAUAGAUAUUGAUAAAAUGUAAAAAGACA